rnacentral:rRNA from 1 species
CAGAGGUCUCAAGCGUUGUUCGGAUUCAUUGGGCGUAAAGGGUGCGUAGGUGGCGCUGUAAGUCGGGUGUGAAAUUUCGGAGCUUAACUCCGAAACUGCAUUCGAUACUGCGGUGCUUGAGGACUGGAGAGGAGACUGGAAUUCAUGGUGUAGCAGUGAAAUGCGUAGAGAUCAUGAGGAAGACCAGUGGCGAAGGCGGGUCUCUGGACAGUUCCUGACGCUGAGGCACGAAGGCCAGGGGAGCAAACGGGAUUAGAUACCCCGGUAGUCCUGGCAGUAAACGGUGCACGUUUGGUGUGGGAGGAUUCGACCCCUUCCGCGCCGGAGCUAACGCGUUAAACGUGCCGCCUGGGGAGUACGGUCGCAAGAUUA